CCUACGGGCGGCAGCAGUGAGGAAUAUUGGUCAAUGGACGAGAGUCUGAACCAGCCAAGUAGCGUGAAGGAUGACUGCCCUAUGGGUUGUACACUUCUUUUAUAUGGGAAUAAAACAGGGUAUGCAUACCCUCUUGUAUGUACCAUAUGAAUAAGGAUCGGCUAACUCCGUGCCAGCAGCCGCGGUAAUACGGAGGAUCCGAGCGUUAUCCGGGUUUAUUGGGUUUAAAGGGAGCGUAGGUGGAUUGUUAAGUCAGUUGUGAAAGUUUGCGGCUCAACCGUAAAAUUGCAGUUGAAACUGGCAGUCUUGAGUACAGUAGAGGUGGGCGGAAUUCGUGGUGUAGCGGUGAAAUGCUUAGAUAUCACGAAGAACUCCGAUUGCGAAGGCAGUUCACUGGACUGCAACUGACACUGAGGCUCGAAAGUGUGGGUAUCAAACAGGAUUAGAUACCCGUGUAGUC
rnacentral:rRNA from 1 species